GGAGAGAUGGCCGAGUUGGUCGAAGGCGCUCGCCUGGAGAGCGAGUAGACGGGCAUAAAACUUGUCUCGGGGGUUCGAAUCCCUCUCUCUCCG
rfam:Desulfotomaculum sp. 46_296 MPI_scaffold_2446, whole genome shotgun sequence.